rnacentral:rRNA from 1 species
AACAAGGCGAUGAUCAGUAGCCGGUCUGAGAGGAUGAACGGCCACAUUGGGACUGAGACACGGCCCAGACUCCUACGGGAGGCAGCAGUGGGGAAUCUUCCGCAAUGGACGGAAGUCUGACGGAGCAACGCCGCGUGAGUGAAGAAGGUCUUUCGGAUUGUAAAAGCUCUGUUAUACGGGACGAAAAAGACGGAUGCCAACAGUAUCCGUCCGUGACGGUACCGUAAGAGAAAGCCACGGCUAACUACGUGCCAGCAGCCGCGGUAAAU